rnacentral:rRNA from 1 species
CACGCAGGCGGUUUGUUAAGUCAGAUGUGAAAUCCCCGGGCUCAACCUGGGAACUGCAUUUGAAACUGGCAAGCUAGAGUCUCGUAGAGGGGGGUAGAAUUCCAGGUGUAGCGGUGAAAUGCGUAGAGAUCUGGAGGAAUACCGGUGGCGAAGGCGGCCCCCUGGACGAAGACUGACGCUCAGGUGCGAAAGCGUGGGAGCAAACA